AUUGAACGCUGGCGGCAGGCCUAACACAUGCAAGUCGAGCGGAUGAAGGGAGCUUGCUCCUGGAUUCAGCGGCGGACGGGUGAGUAAUGCCUAGGAAUCUGCCUGGUAGUGGGGGAUAACGUCCGGAAACGGGCGCUAAUACCGCAUACGUCCUGAGGGAGAAAGUGGGGGAUCUUCGGACCUCACGCUAUCAGAUGAGCCUAGGUCGGAUUAGCUAGUUGGUGGGGUAAAGGCCUACCAAGGCGACGAUCCGUAACUGGUCUGAGAGGAUGAUCAGUCACAUUGAACCGAAAACCCGUCCCGAACCCUGAGGGGGGGAACAAGUGGGAAUUAUUGACAAUGGGGGGAAACCCUGUCCCACCCUGGCCGGGUGUGUGAAAAAGGUCUUCGGUUUGUAAAGCCCUUUAGGUUGGGGGAAAGGGCGGUAAUUUAAACCCUUCCUUUUUGAGCGUUACCAACAAAUAAACCCCGGCUAACCUUCGG
rnacentral:rRNA from 1 species